rnacentral:rRNA from 1 species
AUGGCUCCCAACCUCAGCAAGGCGACCGACGACCUGCUCGGCGACGUGGCCGUGGACGGCCUCAAGCAAUCGCCGCGCUUCACGCUCAAGGGCAAGGACCUCGCCGUCGACGGCCACCCGGCCCUCCUCGACGUCCCCGCCAACAUCCGCCUCACCCCGGCCUCCGUCCUCGUGUCCGCUGCCGAGGUAGCCGGCGCCACCGACGGCAGCUUCCUCGGCUUCGACGCCCCGGCGCCGGAGAGCCGCCAUGUGGUGCCGAUCGGCAAGCUGGUUGACACGCGGUUCAUGAGCAUCUUCCGCUUCAAGGUGUGGUGGACGACGCACUGGGUGGGCACCGCCGGACGCGACGUGGAAAACGAGACCCAGAUGAUGGUGCUCGACCGCACCGCCGACCGCCCCUACCUGCUCCUCCUGCCCAUCGUCGACGGCGCCUUCCGCGCAAGCCUCCAGUCCGGCGAGGACGACCACGUUGCCCUCUGCCUCGAGAGCGGCUCGUCGGUCGUGAAGGGGUCCGUCUUCCGGAGCGCCGUGUACCUGCACGCCGGCGACGACCCGUUCGAGCUGGCGAGGGAGGCGGCCAGGGUGGUGCGCGCCCACCUCGGCACCUUCCGGCUGCUGGAGGAGAAGACGCCGCCGCCGAUCGUGGACAAGUUCGGGUGGUGCACCUGGGACGCCUUCUACCUCAAGGUGCACCCGGAGGGGGUGUGGGAGGGCGUGCGCGGGCUGGCGGAGGGCGGGUGCCCGCCGGGCCUCGUGCUCAUCGACGACGGCUGGCAGUCCAUCUGCCACGACGAUGACGACCCCGCCGACGGCGCCGAGGGCAUGAACCGCACGGCCGCCGGCGAGCAGAUGCCGUGCCGGCUCAUCAAGUUCCAGGAGAACCACAAGUUCAGGGACUACAAGGGCGGCCUCGGCCUCGGCGGCUUCGUGCGCGAGAUGAAGGCGGCGUUCCCGACGGUGGAGCAGGUGUACGUGUGGCACGCGCUCUGCGGGUACUGGGGCGGGCUCCGGCCCGGCACGCCGGGGCUGCCGCCGACCAAGGUCGUGGCGCCCAAGCUCUCGCCGGGGCUCAAGCGCACCAUGGAGGACCUCGCCGUCGACAAGAUCGUCAACAACGGCGUCGGGCUCGUCGACCCGGAGCACGCGCGCGAGCUCUACGAGGGCCUCCACUCCCACCUCCAGGCCUCCGGCAUCGACGGCGUCAAGGUCGACGUCAUACAUCUGCUGGAAAUGCUGUGCGAGGAGUACGGCGGGCGGGUGGAGCUGGCCAAGGCCUACUUCCAGGGGCUGACGGAGUCCGUGCGCCGGCACUUUGGCGGCAACGGCGUGAUCGCCAGCAUGGAGCACUGCAACGACUUCAUGCUGCUUGGCACGGAGGCGGUGGCGCUGGGCCGCGUCGGCGACGACUUCUGGUGCACCGACCCCUCCGGCGACCCCAACGGCACCUUCUGGCUGCAGGGCUGCCACAUGGUGCACUGCGCUUACAACUCCCUCUGGAUGGGCAGCUUCAUCCACCCGGACUGGGACAUGUUCCAGUCCACGCACCCCUGCGCCGCCUUCCACGCCGCCUCCCGCGCCGUCUCCGGCGGCCCCGUCUACGUUAGCGACUCCGUCGGCAGCCAUGACUUCGCGCUGCUCCGCCGCCUCGCGCUCCCGGACGGCACCGUCCUCCGCUGCGAGCACCACGCGCUCCCCACCCGCGACCUCCUCUUCCUCGACCCGCUCCACGACGGCAAGACCAUGCUCAAGAUCUGGAACCUCAACAGGUUCUCCGGCGUGCUCGGGGCUUUCAACUGCCAGGGCGGCGGGUGGAGCCCCGAGGCGCGGCGGAACAAGUGCUGGUCCCAGUGCUCCGUCCCCGUCACCGCGCGCGCCGGCCCGGCGGACGUCGAGUGGACGCAGGGCACCGCCAAACCCGUCGCCGUCGAGGGCGCCGCGCAGUUCGCCGUGUACUUCGUCGAGGCCAAGAAGCUGGAGCUGCUGCUCCCGGAGGAGACGGUGGAGAUCACGCUCGAGCCGUUCAACUACGAGCUCCUCGUGGUGGCGCCCGUGCGCGUCGUCUCGCCGGACAAGGACAUCCGGUUCGCGCCCAUCGGGCUCGCCAACAUGCUCAACACCGGCGGCGCGGUGCAGGCCUUCGAGUCCAGCGAGGUCGGCAACGGCGAGGUGACGGUGGAGGUGGCUGUCAAGGGCGCGGGGGACAUGGCGGCCUACUCGUCGGCGAAGCCCAGGCUGUGCAAGGUUGAGGGCGAGGACGCCGAGUUCGCGUACAAGGAUGGCGUGGUCACCGUGGCCGUGCCGUGGUCCGGGUCGUCGUCCAAGCUGUCUCGUGUCGAGUAUGUCUAUUGA